GGAACGAACGCUGGCGGCAUGCCUAAUACAUGCAAGUCGAACGAAGGCUUCGGCCUUAGUGGCACACGGGUGCGUAACGCGUGGGAAUCUGCCCCUUGGUUCGGAAUAACAGUUGGAAACGACUGCUAAUACCGGAUGAUGACGAAAGUCCAAAGAUCUAUCGCCAAGGGAUGAGCCCGCGUAGGAUUAGCUAGUUGGUGAGGUAAAGGCUCACCAAGGCAACGAUCCUUAGCUGGUCUGAGAGGAUGAUCAGCCACACUGGGACUGAGACACGGCCCAGACUCCUACGGGAGGCAGCAGUAGGGAAUAUGGACAAUGGGCGAAAGCCUGAUCCAAGCAAUGCCGCGUGAGUGAUGAAGGCCUUAGGUUGUAAAGCUCUUUUACCGAGAUGAUAAUAGACAGUAUCGGAAGAAUAAGCCCCGGCUAACUCCGUGCCAGCAGCCGAC
rnacentral:rRNA from 1 species